AGGAGGAGGAGGAGGAGGAGGAGGAGGAAGAGGAGGAGGAGGAGGGGGAAGAAGAAGAAGAAGAAGAAGAAGAAGAAGAAGAAGAAGAAGAAGAAGAAGAAGAAGAAGAAGAAGAAGAAGAAGAAGAAGAAGAAGAAAAAUAAAAUCUGGGUGACCAGCUUAUAUAUCCACAGAAGUCACGGGACUGACUUUCACAUGGUAAAUAGAUCUCAUCUAAUGCCUAGUGCUUCUGGGGGAGUUUUUCUACCAGAGAAGAAACAUCAGCCUGUAUCCCUUCUGCUUCAGAGUCUUUCACUUCUGAGCCCACGACCUGGGUGAUCUCUUAUGGAAUCCUGGUACCAACUUCUACUCUUUAUGCAUGUUUAUUUUUGUUUUAUAUUAUUGUUUAUUUGUGUGUGUGUGUUUAUUUAUUUACUUUACAUCCUGCUCUCUGUCCCCCUCCUGGUCACUCCCUCCCAUAAUCUUUCCCCCUUGCCCCUCCCCUUCUCCUCUGAGAGGGUGGGGGCCCUGGGUAUCCCCCUACCCUGGCACAUCAAGUCUCUGUGGGGCUGGCACAUCCUAUGUAGCACUGUCUGUCCUGGAACUCGCUAUGUAGACCAGGCUGUAGGCCUUGAACUGACAAGAGUGUUACAAUGAAAGGCAUGUAUGUUCCAUUAUGCCCAGAGCCCAGCUUCUACUGUUAAGUUGAACAUUUUUAGUCUAAUUCCAUCCUUGAUUUGCUGUGCACGUGUGACUGGUGCAGUACACGCCCUCAGCAGCUCCCGCUGUGGACAUCCUGCUAGUAUCGAACAGUCCUGGAAGGCAGAUGGUCAAGUCAGCUUGAGAUCUGCUUUCUGGCUAAGGGGAUGUACACCAUGGUACCUGAAUUGUAUGUUGUGUGGAGAGGCUGGUAUCUAUCUAUUCAUACAUUUAGCAAGUGAUUAUAUCACAGAGAUCCCUCAGCCAUGGACUUCUAAAUACUCCAGUAUUAAGCUCAACAUCACUCUAACCACUCCUGGUUGUUGGACCCAGACAUCAGUAGUCAGUGUCGGUCUCAAAGAAUCCACUGUACACAGAAACGGCCCACUAAUCCUGCUGUGCAAACUUAGAGAAGGUUUUAGCCUACUUAUUUCUCAGUCGAGUAUAACCAUAGCAUCUGUCUCUGUGUUAUAGGGUUGUCUGAGAGGAACUCUAGAGAGUGUUGUGUUUAGCACUGGGGGAACCCUUGAGAAGUGAGGCCACUGCCAUUUCAGUCAGUGUGACUACUCUAGGAUCACACCACUGUGGACUAGCUCACUAACACUCAUUUAUUUUCCAACAGUAUCUGAAGCUUGAUGUCUACGAUUAAAGAGCCAUCGGAGCUUGGUUCUAGAAAGGGCUUUCUUGUGAAUUUGCAGAUGUCUGCCUUCUUGUUGGGUGAUCACAUAUUUGGGUGGUGGAAAGAGAGUCGUUAGGUUGUGGUCACAGGUUUAUUAGAUGAGGACUUAACCAUUAUGACUCCAUUUGGUAUCUCAAAAUCCUCCUAAAGUCCCCUACCCUGAGACAAAUACAUUGUCGUCCAGGGCUUCAACACAUGACAUUUGGAAACGAUUCAGUUCAGGACAAUUAUCCUCAUCCUUGCCAAUCAUUUAUUUCCAAAAUUCUACUGUUGGUUGAUUUACUGUCUUUGUCUGUCCUGGAUGAUCCUGGCUAUACCAUUUAAUUUCCUGCAUCCCAGGGAACUCAUGUGGAUGUCUUGAUUAAACCCACUUACCCACAUACCUAGUUCAAAUCUAUCUGAGCUAGCCUGAAAUCAUCCCCAUACCUAUAUAGUACAUUUAACCACUCACCAAACCCCAAGCCCUCCUAAGUUUGAAUAAAAAUAUCUCAGUUUAGCCUUCACGUAUCCAUUUGACCACGGCUCUCUAAUAAUUAUCCACCAGGAUAGUUUUAUUCCGUUUCUGUGACUAAUGGUGCGACCAAAAGUUACUUGAUGAAGGAAAGGGUUAAUUUUGUCUUGUAUUUUCAGGUCAGAGUUCGUUAUUGAGCGAAGCCAGGGCAAGAAUUUACCAUUGAACUUGAAGCAGAAACCAUGGAGGAAUGUUGCUUGACGCUCAUCCCCUGCCUCAGUCUGGUUCAUGCUCAGCUAGCUAGCUUCAUUGUACAGACAAGAACCACAUGUGUAAGGAUGAUGCUACCCACAGUAAGCUAGGUACUCUUACUCAAUUAAUAGUCAAUGCAAUCUCUCACAGACAUAUUCACAGACACGCCUAAUAAGCACAAUUACUCAGUCGAGACUCUUUCUGUCAGGUGACUGUGGACUGUUUUAAGUCGGGAGUUAAUUCUAACUAGGGCACCUACCAUUGAGGUUUUUGCAUGACCUUCUAAUGUAGUUAUCUUUGAACUCGAAUCACAUUCACUGAUUACUGCUUCUCUGACUUUCUCAUUUUGUCGUGGGGCAGGUCAGGGGAGAGCCUGGGUGUCUGCAUUUCUAACAGCAUCCCAGAAGCUCAUGAUCACGCAUUAGGGCUCUGAAACUUGGGCUUCAAAACUUAGUUCCAGGGAUAUACUGCACACUUGGAAAGUGAGAGUACUGCCAUUUCAGUCAGUGUGACUACCCUAACAAAUUACGUCACCGUAGUGUAGCAUAAUAAUUAAUCAUUUGUUUUCUCACAGUAUCUGACACUUGAUAUCUAACAUAUUAUAUAUUGGCCUUCUUGCUGAGUAGUCACAUAUUUGGGUGGAAUGAAUUUAUUUUUCCCUUUUAUAUGGUCCCAAGUUUAUUAGAUUAGGACUUAACCAUUAUGACUUAAUAUCUGUCUGUCUAUCUAUCUAUCUAUCUAUCUAUCUAUCUAUCUAUCUAUCUAUCUAUCUAUCUAUCAUCUAUGUUCAGGUCCAUUGGGGAGAUGGAGCCUACUGGAGAUUCCAGAAGCAUAUGAGUCACACAACAACGACACAUUCCUGACCAGGGCCCUUUGUGAAUGACAGAGUUCUACAUCAGCAGGAAAGCCCUGGCACCCGAUGAGCACAUUGUCCAGUGACCUGCUCAGCUGUGAGCUCUUUGUACCCAUCCUAACUCCCAUCCACAACAACCUCUCACAAUGCGAAAUGCAGAGUCAGUUACUCUAGACAGAUGAUUCGGGUUGGGGUGCCCCUGACUUGUGAUUUUUAGUCACACAUCAUGCUUAAGAUCCAGCAUGUCCUGGAUCCUCUGUCAGGCCAAGCAGAGGACUGCCCCCAAACAACCUGGAGGCUGUCCCUGCCCCGUUUUCACCUGAUCUAAAUAUGACUGUUAACGUAGUCACAGAGCCUGGGUCCCUCCUGGGUUGUCCUCACUCACUUGGCCCUUGACUGGUAGUUUUAUAGGAGAGGUAUUAAUCCUACUACUACGCUCCUGACACUGGGACACAGAAAUGAGAAAAUCCAGUUCCUGUCACGAAUCUCCUAAGGUAUAUGUUGACUCUCCUACAACUCUGGAAGAAAUGAAGUGAAUGGGUCUAGAUGCCAGACACCAUUGGCCUUUCCUGUGCAAAAACUGUCCUAUGGUGAAAGCCCAGACCUUCUGUCUCUGCUAUAGAUGUCAACCCACACCAUUCUUUUCUUUUUGAAAAGCCAGUCUUGAAACUGGAUAGUCACCACUUCUCAAGUGUGCUGUGAAUUGACGUACUAGAGGAGCCUGAAGGCAAGAGCAGGCUGGAUGAAGAGGCACCGAACUCAGGAGCAAAAUCCAGAGGCUGCCCCAAAACAUCAAUCAUUGAAAUAAAUAAUAUUUUAAUGCAGUGCUUAAUAAAAUUCAAAAUUA